rnacentral:lncRNA from 1 species
CCAUGGCUCUAGUAAGAGGUCCAAUGUAGUUCCUUGAUGGUCUUCCAUCAGACCCUCCCUCUUGAAAAGGAUCUGUCCCCAGAUCUGCUUCAACCUGUUGAUCAUCUCCUGUGAAAGGAAUUAAAUCGCAGAUGUUAAAAGUAGGACUGACACCAUAAUUUUCAGGAAGAUCUAAUAUAUAUGCAUUAUCAUUUAUUCUCUUGACC